rnacentral:rRNA from 1 species
UACAUGGGGUGCAAGCGUUGCUCGGAAUUAUUGGGCGUAAAGCGCACGUAGGCGGUCCGUUAAGUCAGAUGUGAAAGCCCCCGGCUCAACCGGGGAAGUGCAUCUGAAACUGGCGGGCUAGAGUACGAAAGAGGGUCGCGGAAUUCCCGGUGUAGAGGUGAAAUUCGUAGAUAUCGGGAGGAACACCGGUGGCGAAGGCGGCGACCUGGGUCGAUACUGACGCUGAGAGACGAAAGCUAGGGGAGCAAAUGGG